CUGAUGCUUUUACACAUAACACAACACAACAUAACAUAACCCUACACGUGGUGUAGGGUUUUACAUUAGAUGCUCCUCACCCUUCUCUUAUUGGUGCUGAUAAUAAGUCCUUCAGCUGACUGGAUAGCUCAGUUAGUUAGAGUGUGGUGCUGAUAAUGCCAUGGUUGCAGGUUCGAUCCCUGUCAGGGACAAACUGCAUAUUUCUGUAUUGCAGAGGGUUGGACUGGAUGAUCCUUGGGGUCCCUGCCAACUCAACAGUUAUAUAAUUCUGCGAUGAUGAGGAUGAUGAUGAUGAUCCUCAGGGUCCCUUCCAACUCUACAGUUCUAUGAUUCUGAUGAUGAUGAUUUUAUCUCAUCCUUCUUGCAAGGAGCACAGGACAGUAUACAUACCCUGCUUGCUCUCAACAACCCUGUGAGGUAGUAGAUUAAGGGUAAGAGAGAGCAACUGGCCCCCAAGAUCACCUGGCAAGCUUCAUGGCUGAGUGGAGAUUUGAACCCUGUCUCCGAGGUCCUGUUCUAACACUCUUAAGUGUUGCACCCCACUGGCUGUCCAUCAACUGAAUGGAACAGGAAAGACUGAAUUCUGAGGUGUAAGUCUGCUGACCAGGAUCCGCUACUCAGAAGCUUUGGGGUAGAUUCAGGAACUCAGUGGGUGCUCUGUAUUGAUGUGAUUUGAGGAUUGCUUCUGUGAAGCCCAGCUUUGGCUGCAGUUAUUUUGAGGAUAGUGUGGUGGUUGAACCUGCGCUGUAAUUAAUUAGAAACCUCAACGAUGAAAGCCCUGUUGAAAUGAAUAGGAGUUGCAUAACAUUCCCACCCACAUUUCCAUGGAGUUUGUGUUGAAUUUCUGGAGGUUGUGCAUUUGAUUUCCAUCAGGCAGUCUCUUGGCUUAUCUUCAAAAUAGGAUGAGGAUGCUCGUCUUCCAAGUUGGUUUCCUAAAAGCAGUGGUUGUAGAACAGAGUAACCUUGUGCUCAGAAGUAUUUUCAUUAAUUGUCCUCACAGGUGAUCUUCAGCGCCCAUAGCAUGAAGUCAGUCCUCAGGUGGUUGAGUGAAUAGAUCCUUCCACCAAGUAACUUUAUGUUAGCUUACCUGGAAUAAGCACAUUGAAGAGAAGACUGGAUUUGUGGUUCUUAGAGCAGGCAGUAUAGGAGCUUCAAAUUGCUGUGAAAUGCAGGCAAAUGGUGUACAUGUUUUUUCUCUCUUACACUGAAUCACAACGUUGUCCACCUAGCUCAGUAUUGUCUCUGCAUUGUUUGGCCGUGGCUCACCAGGGUUUAGAUGGGGAGAAUUCCCAACCCAACCUGUAGAUGCCCGGAAUUUAGCCUGGCGCCUUCUGCAUGCAAAGCAGGUGAUCUACCACCGAGUUACGGCACUUCCAUGGAGGUACAGCCUAAGGGCACGGUAGUUUCUAGAUCGAACCCUAGACAAAUAAUGCACCACACCCUGGUUUUGCACCUCCAGUUCGGUGUUACAGAUGAUAAAUCUCUGCCUUCGUUUUUGUGCUUGUGUAUUUCAGAGAAGUGGAAAGUCCCUUUUCAGUCUUUAGGGUUUGAGAGUGCUGUUGAGCGGUUAAAACAUUUCAAGGUAUACCUGAGCCACAUUGAGCAAUGUGUGCCCUGAAAAGCAAUUUUUGCUCCCCCCCCCCCGCUAUAUUUACUUCUGCCAUUUGCCAUUCCCCCUUAUAAAACGGUACUCUGGAGGGUGAAAUCUGAAAGAUUUGUGAUUUGAAAUAUUUGAAAGUUGUGUGCUCACCUCUAAUGCUUAACUGUAUAGACAUGAUUUUUUUUUUUUUAAUUAUACGUCUCCUAAGCAUGCUGUUGGCUUACAUUGGGAUUUUUUUUCUUAAACGCUCUAGAAAUGCAGCAAUGAAAGACUAACUUUCCUCAGAACAGCCACUGAGUUUACUACCCUGCCCACGAUGAGCCAUUCAUGGUUGCAUUCCACAUCCCCUGUUCAUCAGCUCGUCUAUGUUUUAUAAUUACUGUUUAUUUUUAAGAGCCUCUUAAAGCCACCCAGAGAGGAGGUGAAUCAUAGGGACUCCUGGUCUUUGCAAAAAGAAACCCUUUUUUGUGUGUGAGAAAGUCAGGCUUGGUCCAUGAAAACGAUUCUCCUCUUUUUGCCCCACACUCUCUUAAGCCAAAGUCUGGCAAAUGGUAGCUUUUGCAACUGAAUAAAGAGAGAUGCAGUGUGCUUUUCGUAUGGAUGCCGGUCCCUUUUCAGCAGAGAGGUUCCUUGAAUCUGGGGAGAUCUGGAUUCGAGUCUUCUCUGUGUCAUGGAUCCUUAGUGUGGCUUGAGCAGGCUGCUUUGCAGAAACAUCUGACAUGCAUUGGCUAGAAAAUUGAGAAAGGAACCCCUCGUCGGCUGCAACUGGAUUUUGGAACUCCUUGCUGAGAGAGGUUCUUCCACCAACAAGCAGCAACCUUUUAAAUAGUUAUAAUAAACUGCCUUCCAUUGAGUCAGAUGAUUGCCCCACCUACCUCAGUCUGCACUGUCUGGCAGUGGCUCUCCAGGGUUUUCAGACAGCAAAUUUCCAGCCCUACCUGGAGAUAUAGGGGAUUGAACCUGGGACCUUCUGCAUGCAAAGCAGAUGCUCCACCACUGGGCUACAGCCCUUCCCAGGGUCAUUAGACAUACUGAACUGACUUUUAUUUUUUUGCUCUGCUGCUCUGUGUUUUAAUCUAUAUUUCUAAUUUAAUUAUGUUUUUAACUAGCUGCCAUUUCUAUCCACUUUAAUCUUAUUUUAAUCAUCUUCUUACUUACUUGUGAGCCAAUUGUUCCUUAUUAUGGGUUUCAUUGUCACCUUGACCUUUUUUCAAAAACUGGAAAGGCAGGGUACGGACAUGGGUGUCAGUGAUAAAAUGGGAACCAUAGUUAAACUUGCGCUACAAUUUUAUUGAGAAACAGAGGGCACAGGGCUAUCUAGUGGGCCUCCUCCUUUAUUUCCUGAGGGACUGGGCAGCUUCCAUUGGUGACGACUUCUUCUUCUUCUUCCUCCUCUUCCUCCUCCUCCUCCUCCUCCUCCUCCUCCUAUUAUUAUUACUCACUCAUCUGACAGGGUUGUUCUAGAGUGCAGUAGGUUCUCCUGUCUAAAUGUUGUGUGUAGUGUCUUCUGUAGCGCCAUCCAAUAACAAAAGGAGUUCCUGCCUGGGGCUGAUAGGACUGUGUUUUUAAGUGUUGGCCUGGGUGCGGGGAGCAUCAUUGAUGGGCCUCUUGCUUAGGUCCCACUGACUGCCCUGGGGCCUAGUGGCUAGAGCAUGUUCUUUGAUACCCACAAGGUUCCAUGCAACUGGCCAAAAGGUUCUCAAGAGCAGAUCUGGGAGAGACCACCUCUGAAAACCUUGCAGUACACGUUGACUACGUAGAUCAACAUUUUAAAUAUUCCGCACCCAAGUUACUAGUGCACACUUAUCCACUUUCCAAAGGCUGGCAGAGGAGAAAGAGAGCUGCAUUGCUAUGCUGGACGGAGAGGCAGGCCCAGAUGCUCCUACAUGUAAUUCCUGGUUGCCUGGCGCUCAAAUACAAGGCUGUAGAUUUGACUUGAUUUAAUAUUUGUAUUACACUUUUUCAACAGCAGAUGUUGAGCUCAAAGCAGCUCACAAUAAUCACAAUAGCAUUAGGGGAGAAACGUUAAACACUGCAAUGUCAAAUACAGUAACAUAUAAAUAAAGCAAAGCAACAACAGCAAAUUACUCAAAACAAUCCAAUCCAAUAAACCAUAGUAAUUCAGAAUAUUGGAAAGAGUGUUGGGGAACUUUAGGCUUGAAUGCCAGAUGUGCCUGCCUUCUACUUUGCUGCGUAGAGCAUGGGACUCUUAUACUCAGGGCCUUGGGUUUGAGACCCAGGUAGGGCAAAAGAUUCCUACAUUGCAGGGGGUUGGACUAGAUGAUUCUUGUGGUACCUUCCAACUAUACAGUUUCAUGAUUCUAUGUUUUUCAUGCCCUUGGAACCUUCUAGGCCCACAUGCUUUAUCUCCUUGCUUCACCACACUCUUUGGUUGCUUUUGCCUCACUGUAAUGUGUCCUUGAACUUGGAAGGAGGAUAGAGAAGGGUGUGCAUGUCUGUAAAGAAACCUAACCUAGAUUGCAGAAGUAAAAGUGACCUUAGUUGCUCUGCCCUCUUUUGCUUCUGGCCCUACCAUUGUCCUGCGGCCCCCAGAGGGUUGCCCAGGAGGGGAUGUGGCCCUCAAGCUGAAAAAGAUUCCCUGCUUUAGACAGUAAUGAACUGCAUGGACCCCUGGCCUAACUUGUGUGCCUGUUAAUUACAAAGUCUGCCAAGUUAGAAAAGGACCACUAUUUUGUCACUUCUGAACAAGGGAGAUGGUAAUUGCUUGCUCAGUUGAGGCCUUUAGCUCCUGCCUGCUUAAGUAGGGUUGAAUCAACCGACUGUGUUUGCAUGACCAAAUUUUUAAAGAGCAAAAUGCUGCCAGUGAUAUUUGGAGCGGUGUGUGUGUGUGUGUGUGUUUGUGUGGUGCAAACUUUUACUGUGUUUCAAAACGAUUUCGCUGAAUGAUGCACCCCUCGUGCCUGUGCAAGAAGAGUGUGUCAGAGGCUGUUCCCUCAAACGCCGCGGUGGCAGUGCUGGGCUUCCUCCGAGGCCUGUGAAUAGCUUUAAUGCUUUUUUACUCAACGUGUCAGGAUGCCAUUUCAGCACAUCUGUCAAAGCAGGAGCCAGGAGCAGCUGCUGGUGUUUGGAAGCUUACCUUGACGCCUUUCAUCGCCUGAUUCAUCCGAAUUUGGUGUUUUGGAAGGGCCUACAUGCAGAUUUUGUUGAAGUCCUGGAGGUAUACAUGCCAAAUUGACUGAGGCUUGGAUCUAAACCCUUUCUCUCCUCUCUUCCCACCUGCGUUUUGGAGUCCAGAGAGGACUACGCCAUUUGCUAUUCAUUAUGUCAGAACAGACGUGCGGCAGUUUAUUGAUAGUGGGGGGGUUUUAGCCUAAAGGUAGCAUGCUAAGUCAUACUUGCAGGAACUCAUGAGGGAAUAGCAUGAAGCUCCUUUCUCCAAAGAUACUUGACUGUCUUCUGAUUUUACAACACUCGGUGUGCUUCCAGAGCCAGCCAUUUGGUUGCCCUGUGUCAUGUUCUUUUAAAAGGAACAUGAUACAUUGUUUACCAAAACGAUUCCUGCCUGGAAGAACAGGUUUUUAUUACACCAGCCUUCAGUUUCCAAGCCCCUAUGGCUGCAAAGUUCCUCAGCUUUUUUUGUGCUUUAAAAUCUUCUCAAAAUCUCUCGGGGUGGGGAGGUGAUAUGGCUGCAGGAACUCCUACUGGACUUAGUGGUCGGACUAACUUCUUAUUAAUUCUCUUCCUGAAGCUGAAAAUGCAAAUAUUUUGAGCUGUAGCAAGAUGACUUGAAGAACCUCUCCAUGCAGUCUCAUUUCAGUGUAGGAAGCUGUGUGUUUUGUAAAGUCGAGCAUAUGUGUGGGGAGGCAGAAAAGGGAAUGGACUUUAUAUGUCUAUUGCAGCUUCAAAUAUACAGUGGUACCUCUGGUUACGUACUUCAUUAGUUCUGGUGGUCCGUUCUUAACCUGAAACUGUUCUUAACCUGAAGCACCACUUUAGCUAAUGGGGCCUCCCACUGCUGUGCCGCUGCUGCCGCACGAUUUCUGUUCUCAUCAUGAAGCAAAGUUCUUAACCCGAGGUACUAUUUCUGGGUUAGCGCAGUCUGUAACCUGAAGUGUAUAUAACCCGAGGUACCACUGUACCAGGUCCUUUGGAACUAGUGAUAGCCAGCAUGGUAUAAUGGUUAAGAGCAGGGGUCAGCAAACCUUUUCAGCAGGGGGCCGGUCCACUGUUCCUCAGACCUUGUGGGGGGCCGGAGAAUAUUUUG